AGGCCAUGGUGUGGACACCUCCCAAGAAAAUCCUUGAACCUUUCCCAUGCUUCAUAUAAAGUCUCCAUGUCCAUUUGUGUGAACAGUUGUAUAUCAUUCCUUAACAU